UCGGGUUGUAAAGCACUUUUGUCCGGAAAGAAAACCUCUUGGAUAAUACCUGAGGGGGAUGACGGUACCGGAAGAAUAAGCACCGGCUAACUACGUGCCAGCAGCCGCGGUAAUACGUAGGGUGCGAGCGUUAAUCGGAAUACUUGGGCGUAAAGGCGUGCGCAGGCGGUCCGCUUAAGACAGAUGUGAAAAUCCCCCGGGCUUAACCCUGGGAACUGCAUUUUGUGACUGGCGGGCUAGAGUAUGGCAGAGGGGGGGUAGAAUUUCCACGUGUAGCAGUGAAAUGCGUAGAGAUGUGGAGGAAUACCGAUGGCGAAGGCAGCCCCCUGGGGCCAAUACUGACGCUCAUGCACGAAAGCGUGGGGAGCAAACAGGAUUAGAUACCCUGGUAGUCCACGCCCUAAACGAUGUCAACUAGUUGUCGGGUCUUCAUUGACUUGGUAACGAAAGCUAACGCGUGAAGUUGACCGCCUGGGGAGUACGGUCGCAAGAUUAAAACUCAAAGGAAUUGACGGGGACCCGCACAAGCGGUGGAUGAUGUGGAUUAAUUCGAUGCAACGCGAAAAACCUUACCUACCCUUGACAUGUACGGAAGUCCGCUG
rnacentral:rRNA from 1 species